GGACAAAUUCCAUUGUCAAAUGGGAAAGCUCAAGUGCCAAUGACAUGGCCCAAUCACCUUCCUCAGUAUAUGCACAACUUUCAAGGUCCUUUAUAUCCUCCAUAUCAAGGAUAUCUUUUGCCCGGAAUGCAGAUGCCGCCACCAUAUUACCCGGGCAGUAUGCAAUGGCAAUCAAAUGCUGAAGACUCGAGUAUUGCUUCUGAUCGAGAACCCAAUG
rnacentral:misc_RNA from 1 species